GCAUAAUCUCUACGGAGAAAAGCAGGGGAUCGCAAGACCUUGCGCUCUUGGAGCGGCCGAUGUCUGAUUAGCUAGUUGGUGAGGUAAAGGCUUACCAAGGCGACGAUCAGUAGCUGGUCUGAGAGGACGACCAGCCACACUGGGACUGAGACACGGCCCAGACUCCUACGGGAGGCAGCAGUGGGGAAUUUUGGACAAUGGGGGAAACCCUGAUCCAGCCAUGCCGCGUGAGUGAAGAAGGCCUUCGGGCUGUAAAGCUCUUUCAGCCGGAACGAAACGGUCACGGCUAAUACCUGUGAUCACUGACGGUACCGGAAGAAGAAG
rnacentral:rRNA from 1 species